CUUUGCGGUAGAACGGAAGGGGGACGCGUCCGCGCGUGCUGGUUCUAGAUGUCCAGUCUGUCAACCCUCUUUCGUUCUGCCACCAUA
rnacentral:antisense_RNA from 17 species